UACGUAGGGUGCAAGCGUUGUCCGGAAUUAUUGGGCGUAAAGAGUUCGUAGGCGGUUUGUCGCGUCCGUUGUGAAAGCUUGGGGCUCAACCCCAAGUCUGCAGUGGAUACGGGCAGACGUAGAGUCAGGUAGGGGAGAACGGAAUUCCUGGAUGUAGCGGUGGAAAUGACGCAGAUAUCAGGAGGAACACCGGUGGCGAAGGCGGUUCUCUGGGCCUGUACUGACGCUGAGGAACGAAAGCGUGGGGAGCGAACAGG
rnacentral:rRNA from 1 species